UCACUCAAAGAUGAUCCCGCGUUGUAUUAGCUAGUUGGUGAGGUAAAGGCUCACCAAGGCGAUGAUACAUAGCCGACCUGAGAGGGUGAUCGGCCACAUUGGGACUGAGACACGGCCCAAACUCCUACGGGAGGCAGCAGUAGGGAAUCUUCGGCAAUGGACGAAAGUCUGACCGAGCAACGCCGCGUGAGUGAAGAAGGUUUUCGGAUCGUAAAACUCUGUUGGUAGAGAAGAACGUUGGUGAGAGUGGAAAGCUCAUCAAGUGACGGUAACUACCCAGAAAGGGACGGCUAACUACGUGCCAGCAGCCGCGGUAAUACGUAGGUCCCGAGCGUUGUCCGGAUUUAUUGGGCGUAAAGCGAGCGCAGGUGGUUUAUUAAGUCUGGUGUAAAAGGCAGUGGCUCAACCAUUGUAUGCAUUGGAAACUGGUAGACUUGAGUGCAGGAGAGGAGAGUGGAAUUCCAUGUGUAGCGGUGAAAUGCGUAGAUAU
rnacentral:rRNA from 1 species